CGGUUGGCUCUAGAAUGUAAUCAAUGAUUCUUCUGAAGAUGAAAUUAAAGGCAGGGUUGCCCGUUAUAGAGUGGUAGGGGCCAUGGUGCCUCCUCUCCCUCCUGCAACAUGUCCCAUCUUGAUUCUUCCACGACCCAAACCCAAAGGAAAACAAAGAUAUAAUAUACUCCAAUUACUGAACCACCAAUUAAAGAAAGUAUAGAGAUAGAGAAAGCUUUUUUAAAGAGAGAGAGAGAAACUAAAUGGAACAAGCAGUAGGCACAGUGCAAUCCCUAAAACAGUGCCCUCAAUAAUUGAAAACCCAAAGCCACCGAUUUUUCAGGACGCAGAGACGUAAAAGCUAGCGCGAGAAAAUGUACUGAACAGUAUAAUUGAUUCUUGUCUCUUUUGUUACAACAACCAGAGAAAGAAGAAGAAAUGCCAUUUUUUUUUUUUUGAGAAUUUGAAGAAAUGCCUCUUUCAAUGCCUCACAAAGAGGAAACAAAAUUGGUAUUUACAAGAAAGUCCCCUUUAGGAGAAUCCGACUUCACAAUGAAGUCCUUUAGGAGCGACAAAGCCCUUUCAACACUUUUUCCAUCGCCGCAAACUUCAAAAUACGGCACCGGGAGAAUUUUCCGGCUCGUUUGUCAAAAAACCGGCCUCAGCCUUGAUCUCGGCCGGGAACAGAGAAAAAGUGAUGAAUUCUCGACCGAAAUCUCGAUUUUGCCAAGGAAAUUGCUCCUUACGAAUCUCCAUAUUCUCGCCAACAAACGAGCAUCGUCACACAACGGCGCAUGAUGUAGAACCUGGCGCGUUGUUCCUUUACCAGAGAGGCGCAUUUUCGACUGAAAGAGCACCGACUCGUCGAGGGCGAGCCUCGGAGAUAGGCGCCGCUCCUUGAGCACUUUUUCGUCAAUUUCCACUUACCCUCAACCAAAUACUCUGCCGUCGCCAUUAGAGAAGUAAAACCAGGUGGGUGUCUCUCUCUAGGCUCUUCCAACUGGGUUUCUGGACCACUUUCUCUCUCCUGUGCAAGUUGCUCAAAGCAGUCUUCUCUGGCCUGGAGUACUUACUCUCACUACACCUCCCUCUCUCUCUCUGUAUCUGUAUCUAUUGCAAGUUGCAGAGAGGAUGGGUUUUCUCUGGCUUCUUCUUUUUGCAGGUUUUCUCUCUCCCAGUGGAAUGCAGGUUUAGAUGUAAAGAAAGUGAAAGAGGGGGUAUUUAUAAGGGGCAACUGGGGUGUGACACAGUGGGAGUCGGCAUCACCUGGGCCUCAGCCUCGGGUUUGGCGCCGUUUCCAUGUAAUCUUUUAUAUUGAGGGCUGUUUCCAAUACCCAUGUCAAGCCCUCUUAAUUUAGUGAGAGAAAUUAGAGAGAGAAAGAGAUGCUUUUAAAAUAGUGGGCUUCACAUUCGGCCCACUCCUGUAUCCUGAUUAGAGCCGAUAAAAAAAUCACGGACUUUCAAUGGUCAUCCCGAAAUUUCGUAUCUCAGUGAGAUUUCGGGAACAUAUUGCGAAAUCUGGUGGAAGGUUUUAUUUGGGACUUGAGGUUUUGCAGGUGGGUCCGG
rnacentral:lncRNA from 1 species